rnacentral:rRNA from 1 species
GAUGAACGCUGGCGGCGUGCUUAACACAUGCAAGUCGAACGAUGAAGCCCAGCUUGCUGGGUGGAUUAGUGGCGAACGGGUGAGUAACACGUGAGUAACCUGCCCUUAACUCUGGGAUAAGCCUGGGAAACUGGGUCUAAUACCGGAUAUGAGCGUCCACCGCAUGUUGGGUGUUGGAAAGAUUUAUCGGUGUUGGAUGGACUCGCGGCCUAUCAGCUUGUUGGUGAGGUAAUGGCUCACCAAGGCGACGACGGGUAGCCGGCCUGAGAGGGUGACCGGCCACACUGGGACUGAGACACCGCAGAGACUCACACGGGGGAGCGCAGUGGGGAAUAUUGCACAAUGGGCGAAAGCCUGAUGCAGAGACGCCGCGUGAGGGAUGACGGCCUUCGUGUUGUACACCUCUUUCAGUAGGGAAGAAGCGAAAGUGACGGUACCUGCAGAAGAAGCACCGGCUAACUACGUG